rnacentral:lncRNA from 1 species
UCAGAGAUCACCAGGUCCAAGAACCAGAGGCGGAAGACAACCUUAGUUGUAGUUUCUUUUUCCUUUCCAUAUCGUAUUUCAUUUCCUUAAAACAUUGGGGACAAUGUUUAAUUUAAGUAUGGGGGAGAAAACUUGUUCUUUCAACCUUCUAUUUUUCAAGUAUGUUAUUUCCCCUUUCAUUGUUAUUUCCCUUCCUUAUUAUGAAAAAAAAAAAAUUAUUAUAAUAUAGAUUUAUUUUAAGUUAAGUCCCUAGUGUGAAAA